GGCGUCGAGUGGCGGACGGGUGAGUAACGCGUAGGAAUCUACCAAAUAGCGGGGGAUAGCCCGGAGAAAUCCGGAUUAAUACCGCAUAAUCUCUACGGAGUAAAGGGGGCCUCUAUUUAUAAGCUUUCACUAUUUGAUGAGCCUGCGUAAGAUUAGCUUGUUGGUGAGGUAAAAGCUCACCAAGGCGACGAUCUUUAGCUGGUCUGAGAGGAUGAUCAGCCACACUGGGACUGAGACACGGCCCAGACUCC
rnacentral:rRNA from 1 species